rnacentral:rRNA from 1 species
UACAGAGGGUGCAAGCGUUGUUCGGAAUUAUUGGGCGUAAAGGGAGUGUAGGCGGUCCAUUAAGUCUUCUGUGAAAUCUACGGGCUUAGCCUGUAAUGUGCAGAGGAAACUGGUGGACUUGAGUGUCGGAGAGGAUAGGGGAAUACCCGGUGUAGAGGUGAAAUUCGUAGAGAUCGGGUGGAACACCAGUGGCGAAGGCGCCUAUCUGGCUGACAACUGACGCUGAGACUCGAAAGCAUGGGGAGCAAACAGG